rnacentral:rRNA from 1 species
CCUACGGGAGGCAGCAGUGGGGAAUUUUGGACAAUGGGCGAAAGCCUGAUCCAGCAAUGCCGCGUGCAGGAUGAAGGCCUUCGGGUUGUAAACUGCUUUUGUACGGAACGAAAAAGCUUCUCCUAAUACGAGAGGCCCAUGACGGUACCGUAAGAAUAAGCACCGGCUAACUACAUGCCACCAGCCGCGGUAAU